GGCCGGCUGGCGCAAUGGUAGCGCAUCAGACUUCUAUCGAAUAGUAAUCUGGGGGUUGUGGGUUCGAGCCCCACGUUGGUCA
rnacentral:tRNA from 1 species